rnacentral:lncRNA from 1 species
CUCUUAUUUUGCUGGUUUAAUAGUGUUUAUUGUCAAUGUUUAGGCAAAUUCUUCAAGAAUUCUAAUGAAAGUUUUCUUCAAUACAAAACGAAACCGUUUAAUUAACAAUUUUCACCAAGGCCUAUUAAAUAAACCAUGCCUCCAUUUUGUCAACACAUUUGUUUUUAUAUCUUUUAUUCUUUAAAUUGCUUUUUAGUAAUUUCAAUGUGCUAAGCAACAACCACAUUUACUCCGGAGAUAUGAUCUUCACUACUCAACAUUUUGUAAUUAUUUUUAAUCUUCAUUGGAUAAUUGCGCAAUUUUGUCCUUAGUAUACAUAACCUUCAAAC